UGAGCUCCUUCAAAUCAAUUCCAUCCAUCAGAUCACUGAUUAAAUCCACAGUUGACCAAGUUUGACUUCAGUUGACUUUUCUAGGGUUUUGCAUGAUUGAAGCACUUCUGAUGAAUUCCAAACCCUAAUUCCUUGAGAACUUGACUUCAAAUGAUGUCCCAAGUUGUAUGAACUUUUGAUUAAUGAUCAUGGUGUCCAAAUUCUGCAAGAAUGGCC
rnacentral:lncRNA from 1 species